rnacentral:piRNA from 1 species
UAGAGCCAUCGUUCAUCGAAU